GGGUGAAAAGCCCGCUCGCCGGAAGACCAAGGGUUCCUGUCCAACGUUAAUCGGGGCAGGGUGAGUCGACCCCUAAGGCGAGGCCGAAAGGCGUAGUCGAUGGGAAACAGGUUAAUAUUCCUGUACUUGGUGUUACUGCGAAGGGGGGACGGAGAAGGCUAUGUUGGCCGGGCGACGGUUGUCCCGGUUUAAGCGUGUAGGCUGGUUUUCCAGGCAAAUCCGGAAAAUCAAGGCUGAGGCGUGAUGACGAGGCACUACGGUGCUGAAGCAACAAAUGCCCUGCUUCCAGGAAAAGCCUCUAAGCAUCAGGUAACAUCAAAUCGUACCCCAAACCGACACAGGUGGUCAGGUAGAGAAUACCAAGGCGCUUGAGAGAACUCGGGUGAAGGAACUAGGCAAAAUGGUGCCGUAACUUCGGGAGAAGGCACGCUGAUAUGUAGGUGAAGUCCCUCGCGGAUGGAGCUGAAAUCAGUCGAAGAUACCAGCUGGCUGCAACUGUUUAUUAAAAACACAGCACUGUGCAAACACGAAAGUGGACGUAUACGGUGUGACGCCUGCCCGGUGCCGGAAGGUUAAUUGAUGGGGUCAGCGCAAGCGAAGCUCUUGAUCGAAGCCCCGGUAAACGGCGGCCGUAACUAUAACGGUCCUAAGGUAGCGAAAUUCCUUGUCGGGUAAGUUCCGACCUGCACGAAUGGCGUAAUGAUGGCCAGGCUGUCUCCACCCGAGACUCAGUGAAAUUGAACUCGCUGUGAAGAUGCAGUGUACCCGCGGCAAGACGGAAAGACCCCGUGAACCUUUACUAUAGCUUGACACUGAACAUUGAGCCUUGAUGUGUAGGAUAGGUGGGAGGCUUUGAAGUGUGGACGCCAGUCUGCAUGGAGCCGACCUUGAAAUACCACCCUUUAAUGUUUGAUGUUCUAACGUUGACCCGUGAUCCGGGUUGCGGACAGUGUCUGGUGGGUAGUUUGACUGGGGCGGUCUCCUCCUAAAGAGUAACGGAGGAGCACGAAGGUUGGCUAAUCCUGGUCGGACAUCAGGAGGUUAGUGCAAUGGCAUAAGCCAGCUUGACUGCGAGCGUGACGGCGCGAGCAGGUGCGAAAGCAGGUCAUAGUGAUCCGGUGGUUCUGAAUGGAAGGGCCAUCGCUCAACGGAUAAAAGGUACUCCGGGGAUAACAGGCUGAUACCGCCCAAGAGUUCAUAUCGACGGCGGUGUUUGGCACCUCGAUGUCGGCUCAUCACAUCCUGGGGCUGAAGUAGGUCCCAAGGGUAUGGCUGUUCGCCAUUUAAAGUGGUACGCGAGCUGGGUUUAGAACGUCGUGAGACAGUUCGGUCCCUAUCUGCCGUGGGCGCUGGAGAACUGAGGGGGGCUGCUCCUAGUACGAGAGGACCGGAGUGGACGCAUCACUGGUGUUCGGGUUGUCAUGCCAAUGGCACUGCCCGGUAGCUAAAUGCGGAAGAGAUAAGUGCUGAAAGCAUCUAAGCACGAAACUUGCCCCGAGAUGAGUUCUCCCUGACUCCUUGAGAGUCCUGAAGGAACGUUGAAGACGACGACGUUGAUAGGCCGGGUGUGUAAGCGCAGCGAUGCGUUGAGCUAACCGGUACUAAUGAACCGUGAGGCUUAACCUU
rnacentral:rRNA from 1 species